rnacentral:rRNA from 1 species
UAUUUUUUUAAAAAAAAUUAUUUGAUCUUUAUUAUUAAAAUUUAAAAAAUUUUAAAAUUAAAAAAUUUGGUAGUAUUUAAUAUUUUUAGAGGAACUUGUUUAUUAAUAGAUAAUCCACAAUAUAUUAUACUUAAAUUAAUAAAUUUAUAUAUCGUUGUCAUCAGAAAAUCUUAAGAAAGAAUUAAUUUUCUAAAUAAUUAAUUUAAUUAAUAUGUCAAACCAAGAUGUAAUUUAUAUUUAAGAUGAAAAUGAGUUACAAUAAGUUUAUUUGUGGAAAUUAGUUUGAAAAAUUAAGUAUAAAAUGGAUUUAAAAGUAAAAAUUUAUAAAUUUAAAUUUUGAUUUUAUUUUUUAAUAGAUACAAAUCGCCCGUCACUUUCAUUAAUUGAAAUAA